GACGAACGCUGGCGGCGUGCUUAACACAUGCAAGUCGAGCGGUAAGGCCCUUUCGGGGGUACGACGAGCGGCGAACGGGUGAGUAACACGUGGGUGACCUGCCCUUAGCUCUGGGAUAAGCCUGGGAAACUGGGUCUAAUACCGGAUAUGACUCCAUAACGCAUGUUGUGGGGUGGAAAGCCUUGUGCGGCUAGGGAUGGGCCCGCGGCCUAUCAGCUUGUUGGUGGGGUGAUGGCCUACCAAGGCGACGACGGGUAGCCGGCCUGAGAGGGCGACCGGCCACACUGGGACUGAGACACGGCCCAGACUCCUACGGGAGGCAGCAGUGGGGAA
rnacentral:rRNA from 1 species